UACGUAGGGGGCAAGCGUUGUCCGGAUUUAUUGGGCGUAAAGAGCGUGUAGGCGGCCAGGUAGGUCCGCUGUGAAAACUCGAGGCUCAACCUCGAGAUGUCGGCGGAAACCAUCUGGCUAGAGUCCGGAAGAGGAGAGUGGAAUUCCUGGUGUAGCGGUGAAAUGCGCAGAUAUCAGGAAGAACACCCGUGGCGAAGGCGGCUCUCUGGGACGGUACUGACGCUGAGGCGCGAAAGCCAGGGGAGCAAACGGG
rnacentral:rRNA from 1 species